rnacentral:sRNA from 1 species
UAAAUCGUAUUCAAUCAAAAUGCCUCAGA